rnacentral:rRNA from 1 species
GACGAACGCUGGCGGCGUGCUUAACACAUGCAAGUCGAACGGUAAGGCCCUUCGGGGUACGACGAGUGGCGAACGGGUGAGUAACACGUGGGUGAUCUGCCCUGCACUUCGGGAUAAGCCUGGGAAACUGGGUCUAAUACCGGAUAGGACCAUGGACUUCACGGUUUGUGGUGGAAAGCUUUUGCGGUGUGGGAUGGGCCCGCGGCCUAUCAGCUUGUUGGUGGGGUAAUGGCCUACCAAGGCGACGACGGGUAGCCGGCCUGAGAGGGUGUCCGGCCACACUGGGACUGAGAUACGGCCCAGACUCCUACGGGAGGCAGCAGUGGGGAAUAUUGCACAAAUGGGCGCAAAGCCUGAUGCAGCGACGCCGCGUGAGGGAUGACGGCCUCGGUUGU